CCCACCCCGCUCGCGGCGCAGAUCGCGCAACUCCCCUUCAAAAAAAAAAAAAAACUGCAAAAUCUCAAUGAAUCUUUCGCCGUCUCCGAGGCUUGCACAACUCUUCUUCCUCAUCUUCCGCGGCGGCGGCGGCGGCGCCGGCGACGGCCAUGGCGGCGGUGGCGGCGGCGGAGCAGAGCGCGGAGCAGUUCAGGGGCCAGGCGAAGCUCCUGUUCCUCCCCGUCGCCGACGCUGUCCCCCGCCUUUCCUCCUUCCGUCCACCUGCCACCGACGCCGCCACCCCUGGCAGUGACUCCUCCUACCCGACGCCGACGUCGAUUCCCCCGCCGCCAACGUCACUGCCAUCGACACCUACUCCUGUGGCAGUGUGGAGGACUGUUGCUUCCGUUGAUAAUGCAUCCCCGCCAUCGCGCCUCAGAUCGGGGACACCGACGGCCCUCAUGCCGACCGCGCCGCUGCGCCUCCAGAUCGACGCUGCCGACGCCCAUCACACGCACCACCAGGUAAUCGUCGUGCCGCGCCGCAUCCCGCCCCUCCGCCGUCGUCGCAUCCCGCGACCCCGGCGGCUACUCCGCUGCAACCCCUGUGCGGCAGGCGACCCCGAUGGCUCCUCUCGUCACCACCACCGCUGUCUUCUCCCAUUGUAUAGGUAUCCAAACUGAGAUUGCUUGAUCCAGUGAUUGCUAGAGUGUUGAUUGAUGAAUGGCAUUUUGUUUGGAUGUGUGUAUUGCUGUAAUUGUGUGCUGAUGAUUUCAUAGGGUAGAUUAUGAAUAAUGUCGAUUUAUGUUGGUAUAACACAAAUUUUUGACUUCUGACCUUGGGUAGGAACAGUACCCUGUGGAUGCCAUUCAUCAUAUUUACAACUGUCUUUGAAUAUGCCACGUCUUUUCUUGCAUACAAAAUCUUAUAGAGAGUUUUGUAGUGCUCAAUUUUUCACUUCUUUUAUGUUUGUGAGAAUAAAUAGUUUAGAGGAUUAUGGGUCGGAAUUAUAUUAUUUUUUAUUUGUUUCUCUGUUUGCCACUGUACCACCUAUGCAUGAUUAAGUACUUAUCUAAUCUGUUAAUGUACAGUCAAAAUGAUGUGUAGCGUUUAUGUAAUAAUCGAGUCCAUAUACAGGAGAUCAAUAUAUAUUUCUCGGUUUUGGCGAUGUAUAGAUAGAUCCUAUAUUUCUUGGCAGCAAUCAUCUGUUUGUCUUGCCUUCUUCCUCACACUCCACAUGUAAAUGUCUUGAUUUUAGUGUGCUAGGUGCUCAAUGAAAUUCCCAUGUGAACAAAUUUCUGUUUUUGUCUAUCAGGCUAUGUGUUCAUCAAAGAGAACAAAGGGAAGUUAGAAAUUAGAAAUAGUACAGUUCCUAUAUCUAGCAGGUGUGAUCUUCAUUUAUUAUUUCAUUCUUUGAUCUCUAUUGUAAAGGGUUGCAUCGCCACAUUUGCAUAAAGCGAAAUGUGCACUGCAGUAUGUAGUUAAGUGCUUUUGAGCAAUUUAUUAUUAUUUAGGCUUUACUUUGAAUGCCAACAAACCUACAGCUGUAUCAUGGCUGAUAUCACCAACAAAUUACUGCUGCCAAACUACAGGAGAACAAUAGAUGAUAAGCUGUUCCAAAGAAAGAGGAAUGCCCAUACGCUCCGGCCAUCUCUACUAUAUCUGGGAUCCCCAUCGCGCUCCUCCAUUCGUCUCCACAGCUUCUCGCCCCUCCCAACCCAAUCUCUAAUCAUCUGAAUGCGCGAGGGUGGAAGCCAAGUUGGAGAAACGGGAAAGGGAGGACGAUGACAGGGAAGUUGUCGUUCCAUGUCGACGAGUGACAAGCUGACCGAUGCAUUCCGCCAGCUCGGCAAGGCUUUCAAUCCCUAGGUUCCUGGAGGUAUUAUGAGAGGUUUCUUCCUAAUGGUGUUGUCUUCGAGAAGACAUUUUUCCUAUGCUGGAUUUGAGCAACAACCAAAGAAGUUCGUAAGUCCAAAGAUUCGUUUGCUAAACAUUGAACAAGAACUGAAAUAUGAAAAAGAAAAUGCAGAAAUCAGGUUGUCUGAUCCUCUACAAUGCCAAUAAAUCUUUGAUGCUGAAUGGAAUAUGAUUUAUGACAAAGUUGGAUAAAUGUGUGAAAAAGUGGGGCAAAAACAGUCCUUUCUCGGUUGGCAAUUGGUGGUCUUGCAACAUAGGUUAUAGAUUGAACUGAGUCGUAAGUAUGGUGUUGAUAGCUAUUUUGGCAACAAAUAAGCUCAACUAUAGUGAUCCUUUCUGUUGAAAAGGAACUUGUUUUUUUUGCGAAUUUUUUGAGGUAAGGCAAGUGGGCAAUGAAUGGUUCAAAUAUUCAGUGGUUGUCCUGGUCAAACAGCAAGCAUAGUCCUUUGUGACAGUGGUUUGUUGUUACAGAGAUUUGCACUUGUCCUUUUGAAUGCUGGAGCUGCAGUCUGCACCUUCUUAAGGUGAUAGCUCUAUGCCCUGGUUUCUUGAGAUGUAAGAAAAUUUGUUCUAUAGCCGUCAGUUAUUAUUGCACUGAAUUGCAUUUAUUGGAGACCCACCUGAUUAAAGACUGUGAUGAGCAACACACAUCUUUUUUUCGGUCUUGUAUGAUUGGUCAGAUGCUAAUUGAAGCUUUGUUUUUUUUUCAUGAGACAUAAUUGAAGAUUUGUUGUGCUGCUGCAUGUCUACAAAACAUAGAAUAUAAAUUUAUAAAUGGGACGAGCAAAAUGCCUAUGCUUUGCUAUGGGUAGAAGAAAAUAUUCUAAUUUGUCAUAGCAAAAUUUUUUAAUCAAAUAUGUUAGUAUCACUUGAUUAUAUUAGUUCAUGCUUUUACUCCAAAUAGUAGUACAUUAUCUUAGUAUUUUACAUUUUAAUAUUAAUUGUAUAAGUUUCUAAAAAACACCAAACUCGGUUGGUAUAGCCGUAUAGGUGACUCAAAGCAACUUAAAUUGAGAAUUCAAUCUUUAUCCAUGUAUAAAAGAAACAAUGUGUCCUAUAAAGUAUAACACACUUGGUUUGUAUUUCUAUCCUGUCGUAAAAAGAGACAUAAGUUCUAGCUACUACUCCCUCCGUCCCAAAAUGUAGCUAUUUCUAGCACAGUGUCUCGUCCCAAAAUGAAACUAUUUCUUCACCUACCUCCUCCUCUCAACCAAUCACAACCAUUCUUCUUCACCUACUUUCUCUUUUCAACCAAUCACACACUUCCUCCAAUCAUUCUCACAUACUUUCUUAAUACCCGUGCCAACCUCAAAAAUGGCUUCAUUUUGGGACAGAGGAAGUAUUUUUGUUUAAUCAUGAAAUAGAACCUUUCUGAGGGCCAAGCAAGCCAAAUGGGACUGCACCAGUGGUAAGAUGAAAGUUUUUCCUUAUUCACAUCAACUAUCUGAUUUGCAUUUAUUUUUGUUCAUAGAGAUUAAAUUUGUUCCAAGAGAGUGCAAAAUCUGUCAUGUAGCAUUUAUCGUUCGACAACAUAUAAGUUGGAUCCGAAUAGAUGAUUUAGAUCUUUUCUUUCACUACUCUGCUUUGGAGCAAAUAAAUAUUUUUCGUCAUCUUGUUUUGUUUGUGCUAUGACGAAGUGUAUUAUCUUCUUGAUUUUCUUACUUGCAGUGUCCUAUUGUUGUUAAGGGCGACAACACUCUUGCAUGGAUGAUGGUUCAAUGGAAAAAUUAGGAAUUGCAGCACCGACAAAAGUUCACCUAUUGCACUGGUGCAAUUUUGUAAUUAAGAUAUUGUCCCAUGAUGAAAUGCAUGUUUGUACUGUGUGACGAUUUUAAAUUAAAUGUAUUACCAUGUUAAUAGUAAUGUAGUAUUAAGGGUUGAUUAAUUAUUUUUGUUUGAAAAGUUUAGCCUAGGUUUGGUAAAUUGAAAUUUACCAUGUUACUAUGACAUGUAUGAGAAUUUACAGAUUAUUUUUUGGGCCAAAUAUAUUACAAUAUAUAUCAUUGUUUGGUUUUUCA